CAGCAGCCGCGGUAAAACGGAGGGUGCAAGCGUUAAUCGGAAUUACUGGGCGUAAAGCGCACGCAGGCGGUCUGACAAGUCAGAUGUGAAAUCCCCGGGCUUAACCUGGGAACUGCAUUUGAAACUGUCAGGCUGGAGUCUUGUAGAGGGGGGUAGAAUUCCAGGUGUAGCGGUGAAAUGCGUAGAGAUCUGGAGGAAUACCGGUGGCGAAGGCGGCCCCCUGGACAAAGACUGACGCUCAGGUGCGAAAGCGUGGGGAGCAAACAGGAUUAGAUACCCGAGUAGUCCCUGUCUCUUAUAA
rnacentral:rRNA from 1 species